UUCUCCUGGAAAACGGGUGGUAAUGCCGGAUGCUCCGACUCCUCGCAUGGGGUGUCGGGAAAGAUUUCAUCGGUAUGGGAUGGGGUCGCGUCCUAUCAGGUAGUCGGCGGGGUAACGGCCCACCGAGCCUACGACGGGUAGCCGGCCUGAGAGGGCGACCGGCCACAUUGGGACUGAGAUACGGCCCAGACUCCUACGGGAGGCAGCAGUGGGGAAUAUUGCACAAUGGGCGCAAGCCUGAUGCAGCGACGCCGCGUGCGGGAUGACGGCCUUCGGGUUGUAAACCGCUUUUGAUCGGGAGCAAGCCUUCGGGUGAGUGUACCUUUCGAAUAAGCACCGGCUAACUACGUGCCAGCAGCCGCGGUAAUACGUAGGGUGCAAGCGUUAUCCGGAAUUAUUGGGCGUAAAGGGCUCGUAGGCGGUUCGUCGCGUCCGGUGUGAAAGUCCAUCGCUUAACGGUGGAUCUGCGCCGGGUACGGGCGGGCUGGAGUGCGGUAGGGGAGACUGGAAUUCCCGGUGUAACGGUGGAAUGUGUAGAUAU
rnacentral:rRNA from 1 species